rnacentral:rRNA from 1 species
UUCCGGUUGAUCCUGCCGGAGGUCAUUGCUAUUGGNGUCCGUUUUAGCCAUGCUAGUUGCACGAGUUCAGACUCGUAGCAGAUAGCUCAGUAACACGUGGCCAAACUGCCCUAUAGACGGCGAUAACCUCGGGAAACUGAGGCUAAUAGCCGAUACCGUUCACUGCCUGGNGUGGCGUGAACGCGAAACGUUCAGGCGCUAUAGGAUGUGGCUGCNGCCGAUUAGGUAGACGGUGGGGUAACGGCCCACCGUGCCCAUAAUCGGUACGGGUUGUGAGAGCAAGAGCCCGGAGACGGUAUCUGAGACAAGAUACCGGGCCCUACGGGGCGCAGAGGGCGCGAAACCUUUACACUGCACGCGAGUCGGAUAAGGGGACUCCAAGUGCGAGGGCAUAUAGUCCUCGCUUUUUUCGACCGUAAGUUGGUCGAGGAAUAAGUGCUGGGCAAGACCGGUGCCAGCCGCCGCGGUAAUACCGGCAGCACGAGUGAUGACCGCUAUUAUUGGGCCUAAAGCGUCCGUAGCUGGCCAGGCAAGUCUAUCGGGAAAUCUGCGCGCUUAACGCGCAGCCGUCCGGUGGAAACUGCGUGGCUUGGGACCGGAAGACCAGAGGGGUACGUCCGGGGUAGGAGUGAAAUCCCGUAAUCCUGGACGGACCACCGGUGGCGAAAGCGCCUCUGGAAGACGGAUCCGACGGUGAGGGACGAAAGCUCGGGUCACGAACCGGAUUAGAUACCCGGGUAGUCCGAGCUGUAAACGAUGUCUGCUAGGUGUGGCACAGGCUACGAGCCUGUGCUGUGCCGUAGGGAAGCCGAGAAGCAGACCGCCUGGGAAGUACGUCCGCAAGGAUGAAACUUAAAGGAAUUGGCGGGGGAGCACUACAACCGGAGGAGCCUGCGGUUUAAUUGGAGUCAACGCCGGG